CCCUUAGAUGUUCUGGGCGGCCCGCGCACUACAUUGGCACUAGCAAAGAGAUCCUAGAUUGAAUUCUUUGGGGUAUUCUUCUAAAUGGUGUCGUGACUGGGAUAAAUCCUUGUAAUUAUUGGUUUUGAACGAGGAAUUCCUUGUAAUCGCGGUUUAUCAGCUCGCGUUGAAUGCGUCCCUGCCCUUUGUACACACCGCCCGUCGCACCUACCGAUUGGAUGGUCCGGUGAAGCCUCGGGAUUGUGGUUCUUGCCGCUUUAUUGUGGCGUGACCGCGAGAACUUGUCUAAACCUUAUCAUCUAGAGGAAGGUGAAGUCGUAACA
rnacentral:rRNA from 1 species